GGAGCUGGGCGUUGCUCUGGCAACGUCGCGGCCUUCGCCCCGUCACGGCCCGUGAGGAGGGAAGUAGCUGAAAACACUGGCUGCAUCUCUGUGUCUCUUGGAGGUCACUUGCUGAUUUAUCUCCAAUUCGCAGCUCAUUAGAAGGUGUGUAACUCUUCAGAGAUGUUGUUAUUUAACAGGAAGGAGUGACUCCGUGGUCAUCAGGACCAAGUGGAGAAGCUGUUUCCUGAACCGGGCUUUUCUUGUAGAGACACUGGAGGAUCUGUUAAAUCCAGUGACUCAAAAAUUAUUCAGCUGCUCAAGAAUUUCGGGAGGUGUGUGUUAAUUGCUGCUGUUAGACCAUUACGGAGGUAUUUAGGUCAGAAGAUGUAAUGAUCAUGACGCUGGUAUUCUCUAAUGGGUGUCCUUAAAGGUGCCAGAAUUUUCAGUAGGAUCUUUGAAGUUUCUCAAAAUAAGGGUUUUUUCCCAUCUAAUUUGCUCAUCUGAACGUGUGAAUCCCCGUGUGAAUCAUUCAAUUGAACAGUGAAUUCUCAUGUGUGUAAACAUGAGUGGGUUUACCAGGAAGGAGUAGAUGAGUUUGUUAAUUUAUAUUCCAUUUGUAGUACCUGCUGGUAGUUAUAUCCUUAAUUAUUCUGUAUUUUCCUUGUUGAAUCAUAGAAUACCCUGAGAUGGAAGGGACCCACUGGGAUCAUCCAGGUCCCACUCCUGGCCCUGCACAGGACAGCCCUAGCAGUCCCACCAUGUGUAUGAUAUACAGCAAUACAUUUCCAAACCCAAAUUUAAUCUUCUAACAUAACUCAUAAAAUGGAAUUUGACUUUCUGUUUACCUUUUUAGGGAUCAAAGAGGGGUCCUGGAUGUUGUUGUCUGGUCAGGUUUUAGUUAAGUGAGUUUUCUGUCUGAAAGCAAUUUGUCAAACCUGUGUGUUGUACAAUAUUCCAGCCCUCUGGGUGCACAUCCAAUUUAGUCACUGAGGAAAGACAGUUUUGUUUUUAAAAAGCAGAUGUCUGGAAAAGGAAAUACCUCCUUUCAGACCUUUUGGAAUAAAUACAAACCUAGAAAUGUAGUGGGCAAAAUCUUGUUAGCUGUGGUGAAGGGGAUUCGUCCCCUUAACGUCAGCACAUAAAUAUUUGCUUCAUUUCAGUCAAUAUUUACCUCACGGGUCAAUAAAACUUGUUUUGCACUUCACAGAGUUAAUAUUUACUUGCUGUUUUUAGCUUGGUGACAAUAUUUAAAAUUCUCUUAAGUAUAUGGCGGGCUUUUCUACUUCUUUUAUAACAAAAGAUUUUGUUUUAACAGAGGUGUGUUAAUUUAUUAGGAAGUGUUAUCCAUGAAUCAGACCAUGUUUGUCACCUAAUAAGAUUAUCCAGAUUAUGCCUAUAACACUUUACAAGUAUGAAAAGGAUUUUUUUUGCUUGAAAGUGACUAAAUGUCUUACCAAAUUUUAAAGUAGUUGCUUGUGUCUGUAAAAUUAGGCUGUAAAACUUAAGACACUGACACUAAUUUAGAAGGUAAAGUGAAAUUAAAGCAAUUCUUACUCUGAAAAUAAUUUUUGUUUUGGAAAGCAAUCACUAACUUCACCAUUUUUUUAGUUAAGUCAAAGCACAGUGGCCAGGCUUGUAUGGUUUAGGAGGAAAUGCAGAACUGAAUUUUAGAUCCUUAGAGCUGACAAGACCACGUUUGCAAAAGUACAGGUUCAUUUCCACGGCAGAACUUUCCCCAGUGCAUUUCAUAUUUCUGUCACAGCUGGCUGGGUGCUAUUUCCAGUGGGUGAGGUGUAUUAGAAGUUGAUCCAUGGCUUCCAACCUGCCCCAGCCUUUGUCUGCAGCUGUGGGUGAGGCCAGCCCCAGCUCCUGUGGCUGCUCCAAGGAGAUAACGGGGUGCUUGUUAAGCCACGUGUGUUAUCUCACUGCCUUGUGCCCUGCUCCUGCCUGCUGUGCUUAACCCCAGUCCUCAGCAGCUUGUUUACAUUUCUGGCACAAAAAGGACCCCAAACAUCUCCAGUUCUGUCCCUCUGAAUGGUGAUUUUGUGAUUGAUACAAUUAGACAUGAGGGUGAGGUCAUUUAAUUGAAAUCUUCAGUUGAACCAAAAUCUCUGAACUAAAUCACAGCGCACCCAUAUCCUUCAAACUGUCAAACAAAACAUCUGUUUAUGAUAAUCAUUAUCUUAAUUGAAGAGUUCUAGCUCAUGCCAUGCUUUUCUUCAUUAAUGGAAAGAAUUAAUGAAAGAAUACUUAGAAAAGUACUUAACUAUUUCACUAAGAACUACUUCUGAAGUGAAAUACUGCUGAAGGAAUACUGGAAUUCAUCUUAGACUCCUAUAUAAACUUCCUCCUGGUGAACUUAACCAAGUUAACCAUUUUUCAGCCUCCAAUGCUGCAGUAAAAAUGUGCUUCCUUAAAUCUGGCUUGCUUGCAGACAGAGUCUGACACACUGGAUUUAGUACAGCUGCAGAAUUAACAUUCAAAACUCCCAUGCUGCACAGUUUCCCCACGUGUUACAUAAAAAUGCUGUGCAGCUCCUCUCUCCAAGCUCCUCUCUCAGGGCUUUAGCUGCCUGUUUGCCUCCCCUUUGGUUACUGUUUUCAUUUAUACACAAUCCAAUUUUACACUCACCCAAAUUACUGCUCAUUGUGAGAUAAAUAUGGUAAAUUGAUAAUUCUGCCCAAUAUUGACUUAACAUUCAAGGUGUAACAGCUUCAGAACAUAUUUUGAAGUGUGUUUCAGGUGAUGGGAGGCAAUGUGGGUUUCUUUGAACACCUGAACUGUAGAGCUGUGAUGGUUUGGAUGCUGUUGAUUUUCAACAUCCACAGUUUGAGAUCCAUCUCUAUAUUGUUUAAUCCUGCAAGGUAGAGAAUGGCUUAGAUUCCAUACCCAGAUUUUCAGGAUUUUUUUUAUCCAGAGACUGAAUUUCAUUCAGGAAGAUUUUUGGGAAAGUAGCUGAUUUGAUUUAGGGAGUAGAUGGAUUUUAAAGUCAUGGUAGGUAAAUACUAUCAGGUAUACCUCCUCCUCCUCCAUAGCUUUUCAUGGCAAAAGUAGUUCUGUUAUUUUUGUAUUCUAAAGAAAUAUUUCCUAACCUUUAUUUUACAAAGAUUCCUUUUUAGCAACCAACUAAUUUUUUUUUUUUAAUCAGUUUUUCAGCCCAGACUUGGUAAUCACUCCUUCCCUCUUUGUGCUAAUGGUCCUUCCCCUCCAGGAAAAUCUUAGCUUGGAUUCCUAUGGAGUCAGCAGUGAAGGAUGGAUUGGGAGCAGUGUGAAAUUCUUGCUGGUGCUGCAGCAUCUCCUGACAGGAGAGCAGAGCCACAGAGGAGGAAACAGCAUCAACAUUCUUCAUAAAGCAGAGAAAAUAGGUGCAGGCAAAUCCUUUAAAUUGAGCUAUAAUGAAAUUAUUGUUUAUAGCCCAGCUUCUCCCUUCCAUCCAGAAUCUGUCAUUUAGGUGAUUGGGCCAGCAGGUGCAAACAUAAUUGAAUUCAGGGAAAUAAAUAUGGAGGGAGGCUGGGGAUUGUUUGCUAAAAAGAAGACAUCUAGUUUACUAAUUAGGAGGAUUUAUAGGAUGCUGCACUUAAAAAUAGAUGAUUAUUGAUGGUUCAUCUUAAUCAUGAGAGUUACUUUAUAGUUUGAGGUUUCUUCCAGCUAUAAGCAGGAACAACAGCUCCUCUGCUCUGGAAACUUUCUGAAAGGCUGAACAGAAACAAUGUUGUCAAUUUAGAGAGGAGGUAGCAAAAAAAGUGUGUUACAUCUGUCUUUGAAUGAGUUACACAGCGGAAAGAACCCGGAAUUGUUUUUAAUUAUAAGAGCAUAAAAAGUUAUAGGACUGUAGGAACGAAGAUGAAAUUUGCUUUUGAUAUUCUCAUCUAAAGAUAUGUUAAAAUCAUAGGUAGAUAUUAAACUAAAAUACUUGUCAGUGGACACUGCUGAAGUGCAAGUUAAAUAUUUUAAAUUUCAUUUAUUUUAAAUGCAGUAGUGCUGAUAACACUGGCACUUAGGUCAAUAUCAUUUCUCAUUAAAGUUCUUUCAGCACUCACAGCUUUAUCAGUUACCAGCGAGCUCAUCACAGCAGCCAGGUAUGAAUUACACAUUUCCCAUGCCUUUAUCUCAUUCAUUUCUCCAUCCUGCACUUCAAUAAUUUGAAUAUGAAGUACAUCAGGAAAACAGAGUUGUUUUUUUCUCUAUGGAGAGCUCAAGCAGAACUGUUCCUCACAAGGAGUAACAAACAGCCAGACUGAAUUACCAUGGAGGAUGUUGCAGCUGAGCUUGUAAAUAUUAUUUUGAUAGACUUAUAUUUCCUUCUGAAAGGAAAGAGUAUUAAGGAAUAUUUUGAAAAUAUAGAAAGGGAAUAAAAGAAAAAAACAAACCCAGUAAGAUAAACCAGUAAGAUAAAUUUGGCUCACCAGCCUUUUUGCCAUUUCAUGUCUAACAUUCAUUUUUGAGAUAUAUCAGUUACAUCAAGCUGAGGCCAGCUUAGUUUUAUGUGCCUGAUAAAAUGGAGUGGAUUCACAAAGAUCUGGCCCAUUCUCUUCUGUCACCUCAUAUUUCUGUUACUGUGUCUGUACAUUCUAUUUUAACAGUUUGGAGAAAAAGAAAUGAAAGUUUCUAAGUAAAUAUUAUUACAUUCAGUUACUCCAUAGAGAUUCUGUAUUGUGUAUUCCUCCAAGUAAUUCAUCGUGAUAAAAUGAAAUGCUGAAAUAAAAGAGUUGAUUAAAAUUUAGAUUGGAAAUUGAAAUAUCAAAUGAAUCUAAUCUGAGAGUUAUGAUUUCAGGUUUUCUUACACCCAGCAACAAAUAAAUGAAUAUCCAGGAAGUGGAACAGCCACACACUCAGGGCUGGGGCAAACACUCAGGAGGAGCUAUGGAAUAAGAGAAUCCUUUAAUAGAGAAAUCUGUUCUUUGCUUUUGGCAGGGCUGUUCUGAGAAAGGGUUCAUAAUGCCCCAGAAGUCUGGAUUUUUCUGGAUUUGGGAGGAACCAGUAGGAACCAGAGAUAUGUGGAUGUAUUUGAUGUAUUUGCUAUUCCUCAGUUGCCUCAGGAAGUGCAGAACUUUGCUCCUACAACUUCCCUCUGGGUGCAGACUGAUGUGUCCAAUGGACAAUCCAGCUUAGUGUAAAAAUUAGUUCAGUUUGCUUCUGAUUUAAUUGUAAAAUCAUUCAGACUUUGUGUGUUUUCUCUGUGAGUAAUCCAAAUUUAGAUUUCACUGUUGGUGCUACCUGUUUUUGGUUUUUUUUUGGGUUUUUUUGUGUGUGCUUGUGUUUAAUGCAGCUGAAAGUUAUUAUGUAAAACGGGUAAAUUGGAGUCUUUAAAGGAGCUGCCAACUUAAAUUUGCCUGAGUUUCUUCAGCAGUGGAGAGGAGAGGAAGAAUUCCAGACACGUCAUCCUGAUUUCACAAGUCUGCAGAGAUCUCCAGAGUGGACUUACCCAUCUGUGUGAGCUGCCAAAAGGUGAAGACAACCACUUUAUCUGCAAGAGAAUAUUCAUUUAUGGGACUUCCCUGGUGACAUAGGUUUGAAAUGGGAAAAUGAGCUUAAAGUCUUCUUCAAGAGAGAUUUACUCACAGUUUUCUCCAGUGUCAUUCAGGGGCCAAGCUUUCAAGUCUUCCAGAUUUGGACUUGUUUUGAUUUCAUUGCAAAAUCCUGCAAGAAUUCUGCCAACAGCAAGGCCAAUGUGUCUGAAAAGAGAUGGCAUUUCCAGUACCUAAAGUGAUUGCUUUGAGUCUGUAAGGUCAUCAUGGUUGAAGGCAUGAAGAUGAGGACAUCAAAGCCUUUGCCCACUUAUGACAAUUACUCUGGAGACAAACACAGCCCAGAAGACAAAUGUUAUGAGCUACCUGUAAGUUCUGGUUCACAAAACAGAUGAGAAUCCAGAGAUACUUCUGAACUUGGAAAUGAAAUUUAUUCUCAAGUUGGAGCCCCAUCUUGAGCUAGCCUUAGGAGGACCAAAGGUGCUUCCUUUUCCAGUUCCCUGCCUGGAUUUUAGAAGAUACCAUUUUUUUAGCAUCUAAAGAUGGAAAUCACAGCAAUUUCCAUGGGAAGAAUCUCAGAGAUGACAGAGCUUCCCCCCAAAACACUGCCUGUGUAAUUGCUGAAGACAUUCCAAGCCACUCUAACGAAGUGCUGUCUGCCAGUCAUUAUGUUCUCCUUGGAGGACCAUCUGUUGCACUUCAAAUAUGUAAAGGACAUGUCCUUAUAGGGAUAUUUGGAUUCUGGUAACUCGAGGUUGUUUUCUGAGAAAACACACAUUGAGAGGCUUUAUUUCCCGGAGAGUACCACGGGCAAGCAGUGUCUCAGAAUUCACCAGCCAUGGAUGUGAUUGUUCUCCAUUGUCUUGCUGUUCUCAGGUCCUGUGCAUGGAACUGGGAAAGCUUCAAGGUUGAAUUCAAAAUUCCUCAGUUGAUAUCUUAGGUUUCUUCCCUCAUUUGUAGAUAUUUUAUCAGCUCCUUAUCCUGCGUUUAGGUUUACUGACAAAUGAUGUUCUGCACUUGUGCUGGGAUCCUACAGAAGGGUUUAUUGGGAUGAAUGUGCCAGGACUGAUGAACCAGAUCCCAAAAUGCAUUAUGUACAGAAGUGGGCUGAGGUCCUCAAACCUGGGAGGUGCAGCCACGCCAAAGCCAGUGCCAGACACUAAUCCUCUCCUCCAGACACUGAGCUGUGCUGUUUGAGGGAAAAGAAAUGGGGAAAUGAUCCUGGAAUCAAUUCAGACUUGCAAGAACCAUUAUCCUGGAUAUCCAAAUCUACCCAACCCUUUUUACCAAAUGAUUUUUUCCUCUUAGUGCUACAGCCAUACCAACUCUCACGUGCUUAAUGCUGCUUUCCCCAUGUCCUUCAUCCCCUUGGAGAUGAAGAACCUCUCCCGCAGGGACACCACGGUGCCGCUGGGACUCCCAAGGGGCUCGGGCUGGCCCUGGGCACCCAGGAAUGCUCCUCGCAGCCCUGGGCUGCAGCCAGCCCAGGGAAAACCAUCUGUUCCCUUUGGAAAGGGGUUUGCUUCCCCCCGGAGCCCUCCCCCCGCAUCCCGGCUCCGGCCCCAGCUGCCGUGUUUCGAUGAGCACUGAGGGAAUGAAUCUCCUGCGUUUAAAAAUACUCUGCUUCUAUUUAGAUGAAAAGAAGAAUCUUGCUUGCCUACACUGGCAUACAAAAAUAGGCUCAGUGUGAGUAAAUCUUCAAAGUUUCUCUUGGUGAAUAUAUCUAGCCUCACUUUUUUUUUUUUUUAACUUAUAUGAUAAGUUUAUUUAUAGAGUGUCCUUCUUUCCUCCUACUCUAUCAAGACAUUUGCAGAAGGUUGUCGCUCGUCUUGUUCAGGAGUCCUGAAAUAAUUUGCAGUGCCUUUGAAACAUCAUCGUGUUGCAUAGUUGUGAUCAACGUGCUGCUGUUGCAUGAACAUAUCAUAUUUUAAUGUGAAUGUCAGGUUAGCUGAGACAUUCAGGGCUUUCUUUGACUUUAGCUGCUUUACACUGGUUUGUGUUUUCGCUUGAACACUGCAGUAAAAAUUCUGCAUAUAGUAAUUUAAAAUUUUCCAUUUUACAUGCAAGGCAUUGCCUAGAAAAUUAAUGUGUAAUAUGAGAGGAUUAGUAAGAUGUAUACACUUUCCAAACAUCUCUUAAAAAUAGCUUUCACUGUCACUGUAGCAUCUUAAUUCUGAAUAAUCUCACAGUCCUUCUGCAAAUCUGUGCAUGUAGUAACAGAGAAGCCACCUACUUCAUCCUCUUGAACUGCACAAUAUGGAUCUGGGCAUGGAAAAAAAUGGGUUUUGGAGUAGGGCUCUGCUUUGGCAGAGAGGCUGUCUGUGGAACUACUGAGAGCAUUAACGCUUGCAUUAAAUAUUAAAAUCAGCUU
rnacentral:lncRNA from 1 species